rnacentral:rRNA from 1 species
CACUCCUGCGGGAGGCAGCAGUGGGGAAUUUUGGACAAUGGGCGAAAGCCUGAUCCAGCAAUGCCGCGUGUGUGAAGAAGGCCUUCGGGUUGUAAAGCACUUUUGUCCGGAAAGAAAUCCUUGGCUCUAAUACAGUCGGGGGAUGACGGUACCGGAAGAAUAAGCACCGGCUAACUACGUGCCAGCAGCCGCGGUAAUACGUAGGGUGCGAGCGUUAAUCGGAAUUACUGGGCGUAAAGCGUGCGCAUGCGGUUUGCUAAGACCGAUGUGAAAUCCCCGGGCUCAACCUGGGAACUGCAUUGGUGACUGGCAGGCUAGAGUAUGGCAGAGGGGGGUAGAAUUCCACGUGUAGCAGUGAAAUGCGUAGAGAUGUGGAGGAAUACCGAUGGCGAAGGCAGCCCCCUGGGCCAAUACUGACGCUCAUGCACGAAAGCGUGGGGAGCAAACAGGAUUAGAAACCCUGGUAGUCCCA